rnacentral:misc_RNA from 1 species
UUUAGCAUUUAAUGGUUUACUCAGAGAGCCUGUAAAAGAGUUCUGAUGGGCUUUCGGCGACCGUAGAGCGCCCCCCGGGGCAGGUCGCCGAAGCUAUAGAGGUAGGUUCGCGGGUUUUAGAGUAAAACUCAGUAAUGAUCCCUCCGCUGGUUCACCAACGGAGA